GAUGAACGCUGGCGGCGUGCUUAACACAUGCAAGUCGAACGGGAAACCUUUUAUUGCAGCUUCGGCAGAUUUAGCUGGUUUCUAGUGGCGGCCGGGUGAGUCACGCGUGGGUAACCUGCCUUAUACAGGGGGAUAACAGUCAGAAAUGGCUGCUACUACCGCAUCAGCGCACAGAUCUGCAUGGCUCAGUGUGAAAAACUCCGGUGGUAUAAGAUGGACCCGCGUUGGAUUAGCUGGUUGGUGGGGUAACGGCCCACCAAGGCGACGAUCCAUAGCCGGGCUGAGAGGGGGAACGGCCACAUUGGGACUGAGACACGGCCCAGACUCCUACGGGAGGCAGCAGAGGGGAAUAUUGCACAAUGGGGGAAAACCUGAUGCAGCGACGCCGCGUGAAGGAAGAAGUAUCUCGGUAUGUAAACUUCUAUCAGCAGGGAAGAUAAUGACGGUACCUGACGAAGAAGCCCCGGCUAACUACGUG
rnacentral:rRNA from 1 species